rnacentral:rRNA from 1 species
UACGAAGGGUGCAAACGUUAUUCGGAAUCACUGGGCGUAAGGGGUGCGUAGGCGGUAUGUUAAGUUCGUUGUUAAAGGCUCCGGCCUAACCGGAGUACCGCAAUGAAAACUGGCGUGCUAGAGGGUGAGAGAGAGAAGUGGAAUUCCCGGAGUAGCGGUAAAAUGCGUGGAUCUCGGGAGGAACACCAAUGGCGAAGGCAGCUUCUUGGCUCAUUCCUGACGUUGAGGCGCGAAAGCGUGGGGAGCAAACAGG